UUCACCAUUAGCUGCUCUGAAUUUGGGAGGCUUUCUGUAAUCACAGGGCAUCUUACAAUUACUGUCGGCCAGGCAGCUGCCUUUAAGUAUGUCAUCAACUGCGACUGUGCUGAGCAGAGCUAUGAAAUAGGAGCGGGGCAGGUGCACAGCCGUUAUCGCGAGAGUAUUAGCAGGAAACCCGGAAAGCGACCGUUAGAGAUCCCGCUGUGCCAAUGGUCAGCCUAGCAGUGGUGGGACUCGCGGCAGAAAGUGUGGUGAGAGGCAGAUUACAGCCUUCUCCCCGGGGCCCUCCAGGUGCUCUGGCCUCAGGCCAGCAGGUGAACUGGGGGGCCGUGGGGACAGGCCAGGGGCUGUGUCUCUCACACGGCUGCCUGUUGGUCGGGUCCAAGCCUGGAAGUGACCGUGAACCUCUUCCCGCUCCUCGCCUGCGAGACUUGAUGGCGACGUUAGUCGUCUCCACUGGUCUCCGUCCACAGAAGCCCCAGCAGCUGAAGGAUACACACACUGCCAUUCAGGUGGCUCUGUGGUCGAGAAUCUACCUGCCAAUGCAGGGGACACAGGUUUUAUCCCUGGGUUAAGAAGAUCCUCUGGAAGAUGAAAUGGCAACCCACUCCAGUAUUCUUGCCUGAAAAAUCCCAUGGACAGAGUUGCCUGGUGGACUGCAGUCCAUGGGGUUGCAAAGAGUCCAGCACAACUGAGUGACUGAACAUGCAUGCAUGCAUGCCCUCAUAAGAGACCCUACAGCUGGAUACAAGAAGUCUGUGACCCAGAAGAGGGCCUUCCUGAUCUUGGACUUUCAGCUUCCAGAACUUUGAGAAAUAAAUUUUUGUUGUGUUUUAAGCC
ensembl:lncRNA